CGGAGGAAAAGAAACUAACAAGGAUUCCCCUAGUAACGGCGAGUGAAGCGGGAACAGCUCAAAUUUUAANUCUGGCUGCUUCGCAGUCCGAGUUGUAAUUUGAAGGCGUCUGUCGCAUGUGAGACGAUGGCACAAGUCCUCUGGAACGUGGCAUCGUAGAGGGUGAGAAUCCCGUCUCUGGUCGUUGUCUUGCAGGCACACGGCAGGCGAUCCGAAGAGUCGAGUUGUUUGGGAUUGCAGCUCCAAAUGGGUGGUAAACUCCAUCUAAGGCUAAAUAUUGGCGAGAGACCGAUAGCGAACAAGUACCGUGAGGGAAAGAUGAAAAGAACUUUGAAAAGAGAGUAAAACAGUACGUGAAAUUGUUGAAAGGGAAACGCUUGAAGUCAGUCGUGCCGGCGGGGAUUCAGCGAACUUCGCGGAGUGAGCGUAUUUCCUCGCAUGGCAGGUCAGCGUCAGUUUUGCGCGUCGUGAAAGGGCUCGGGUAAGGUGACUCUCUUCGGGGAGUGUUAUAGGCCUGAGCAGAUGCGAUGCGCGGGACUGAGGAUUGCAGCGGACACCCUUCGGGGCGCGGCGACCGAUCCCUGCUCUGUCACCUUCGUCCGAUAGCGUGCUAACGGUCGGGGGAGCGGCGGUUGCACCGGGUUGGCAAGCCGGCGGCUUCGCUAAGGAUGCUGGCGUAAUGGCUUUAAACGACCCGUCUUG
rnacentral:rRNA from 1 species